CCUGAUUCCUCACUAGAAGCUGUGCUGGUGCCUCUCGUUUCUCAGUGUCACUCCUGUUUAGGCUUGUAGCUGUCAGGGAACCUCACAGGUGGAAAGUUACAGACAUUCCGGGGCCUGCCAUAAAGCACACCCACUCUCCCCACAGGGAGAUGAGGAAUUUCCCGGCUACAGGGUCCGGAUCAGUGUGUACGGAACAGGAUAGGAUUGUCAGUCUGCAUUGUAUCUCCCUGUAAAUUCUUACACGUGCCUAUAUCUCAGAAUGUCACCAUAUCUGCAGACAGGGUUCUUGAAGACACAACUAAAUGAAAAUGGAUGAAAUCAGAAUGGAGCCUAAUCCGAGGUGACUGCUGUCUUUGUGAGAACAGGGAAGGAACACACAGGAAGGCUCCAGGGGUGCGUGUGAGGACAGAGCAAGGAGGUGGCCUGUCUGCCAGCCAAGGAAAAGAAACCAGCCCUGCUGACAACCGGCCCUCAGACUGCCAGCCCAGUGGGAAAACUCAUUCUGUUAUCUAAGCCACUCUGUCUGCAACGAUUGGUUAUGGCGGCCCUAAAAAAUGAGUACAUUUUCCGUCUUUGUACUGUAAAGUUGUUGUUGUUUAAUAGAUUGUCUCUUUUCUUGGGUUUAAGGAAUAUCUUCAAAAAGAGCUUGUUUUAUUGAUGAACUUGGUGUAUUAGGAACCAUCUCGGGAGGCUCUUGGCAAACACAGAAGGGGAUGAACGAGAGCACAUGCCUACCCGCUGUACAGAUCUCGCAACUGCAGAGAUAAUUGGAGAAGAUAGAUCUAUCUGCAAAGACACAAAAGGCAGAUCUCUGGAAUGGACAAGGAAGGUAUCUUCGAUCGAAGCUGUGGGAGGAGCUUUGGACUUGGCUAAGAGCCAGAGCCCUGUAGAGGGAGCGCCAGAGAGCCACUGCGAAGACCCCAGGGGACCAGGAUGCAGCUAAGUCACCUGGAUGCGGAGAAGCUUCUGGGUCCCCACUCUACCUCGCAUCUCUUCUAGAAGGUGCCAGCUGGUGGCUAUGCUUGCACUGGAGCCUUUGCAUAGCCUACGUGGCUGUCAGUGAGGCCACAGGGCCAUUGCAGGCAAUAGUCCAGCUGCACCCCAAGAGAUAGCCUAGAACCAAAGCAUUUCCCACAGCAUUCCUAGAAACUACUUAUGCGUGUCACUCAGAAAACCCAAAUCCUAUCAUUUCUUAGAUGUCAGCUGUGCAGAUACGUCUCUCAACGUUAGAUUGUCUGUUGGAAAAUAUAACUGGAUACCAGAAGUGUCAGAAACCUGGUUCAUACCACUCUUCACAAGGGGAGGCCUGCAAAAACACAGGCAGGAAGGAAUCACCCACUGCUGCAGCCAUGGGCCUGUCAGGCUCGCUCUUAAUUCCUGCCCAGGGCUUGCUCUCUAAAGCCGUGCUGGCUCUGCCUCCAUUUCCCACUUCAUCCAGAGCAAACAUGGCUUCCCGUGCUUGUCCUGGUACCACGAUGCCAUAGCGUCCCCUCAGCCCACUUCCAGAUAAGGGGGCCAUCUGACAAAGAAAGGUCAGGCCGGCUUUGCAUCUAGACUAGCAAGGCUCUUGUUUGUAUGUUGAGGGCACGAAUCUGUAAGUCCUGAGUUUAUUUUGUCCCCAUCUGUGUUGAUUUUUAAAUGGCCUCAUAGGCUCACAGGGAGUGAGUGGCACUAUUACAAGGUGUGGCCUUGUUGCAGGAAGUGGUCACUGGAAUGAGGGUUAGGGAGGGGGCGCUUUGAGGUUUCAGGAGCUCAAGCCAGGCCUGGGAUCACUCUUUCUUUCUCCUUCCUGCCAAUCCAGAUGUAGAAGUCUCGGCUACUUCCCAGUACUGUGUCUGCCUGCACGCUGCCAUGUUUCCUGCUAUGAUGACAGUGGACUAAACCAACUCCAA
rnacentral:lncRNA from 1 species